rnacentral:rRNA from 1 species
UACGAAGGGGGCUAGCGUUGCUCGGAAUUACUGGGCGUAAAGCGCACGUAGGCGGCUCUUUAAGUCGGGGGUGAAAUCCUGGAGCUCAACUCCAGAACUGCCUUUGAUACUGAGGAUCUUGAGUUCGGGAGAGGUGAGUGGAACUGCGAGUGUAGAGGUGAAAUUCGUAGAUAUUCGCAAGAACACCAGUGGCGAAGGCGG